CAAAAGCUCGUUGUCUUCUGU
rnacentral:siRNA from 1 species